GACGAACGCUGGCGGCGUGCCUAAUACAUGCAAGUCGAACGCACAGUUUAUACCGUAGCUUGCUACACCAUAGACUGUGAGUUGCGAACGGGUGAGUAACGCGUAGGUAACCUGCCUGGUAGCGGGGGAUAACUAUUGGAAACGAUAGCUAAUACCGCAUAAUAUUAAUUAUUGCAUGAUAAUUAAUUGAAAGGUGCAAUUGCACCACUACCAGAUGGACCUGCGUUGUAUUAGCUAGUAGGUGAGGUAACGGCUCACCUAGGCGACGAUACAUAGCCGACCUGAGAGGGUGAUCGGCCACACUGGGACUGAGACACAGCCCAGACUCCUACGGGAGGCAGCAGUAGGGAAUCUUCGGCAAUGGACGAAAGUCUGACCGAGCAACGCCGCGUGAGUGAAGAAGGUUUUCGGAUCGUAAAGCUCUGUUGUAAGAGAAGAACGGGUGUGAGAGUGGAAAGUUCACACUGUGACGGUACCUUACCAGAAAGGGACGGCUAACUACGUG
rnacentral:rRNA from 1 species